rnacentral:rRNA from 1 species
UACGUAGGGUGCAAGCGUUAAUCGGAAUUACUGGGCGUAAAGCGUGCGCAGGCGGUUUUGUAAGUCUGUCGUGAAAUCCCCGGGCUCAACCUGGGAAUUGCGAUGGAGACUGCAAGGCUAGAAUCUGGCAGAGGGGGGUAGAAUUCCACGUGUGAGCAGUGAAAUGCGUAGAGAUGUGGAGGAGCACCGAUGGCGAAGGCAGCCCCCUGGGUCAAGAUUGACGCGUCAUGCACGAAAGCGUGGGGAGCAAACAG